rnacentral:tRNA from 1 species
GCCAACGUAGCUCAGUCGGCAGAGCAGCGGUUUCGUAAACCGCGGGUCGGGAGUUCGAUUCUCCCCGUUGGCUCCA